AGUGGACGCUGGCGGUAGGCCUAACACAUGCAAGUCGAACGGCAGCACAGUAAGAGCUUGCUCUUACGGGUGGCGAGUGGCGGACGGGUGAGGAAUACAUCGGAAUCUACUUUUUCGUGGGGGAUAACUUAGGGAAACUUACGCUAAUACCGCAUACGACCUACGGGUGAAAGCAGGGGAUCUUCGGACCUUGCGCGAUUGAAUGAGCCGAUGUCGGAUUAGCUAGUUGGCGGGGUAAAGGCCCACCAAGGCGACGAUCCGUAGCUGGUCUGAGAGGAUGAUCAGCCACACUGGAACUGAGACACGGUCCAGACUCCUACGGGAGGCAGCAGUGGGGAAUAUUGGACAAUGGGCGCAAGCCUGAUCCAGCCAUACCGCGUGGGUGAAGAAGGCCUUCGGGUUGUAAAGCCCUUUUGUUGGGAAAGAAAAGCAGCAGGUUAAUACCCCGCUGUUCUGACGGUACCCAAAGAAUAAGCACCGGCUAACUUCGUG
rnacentral:rRNA from 1 species